CCAACGAUGGUAUCCAGGUGACUUAACACUUCACUUGGCUCUGCCAGUGUGGCGUACGGGAGCUGAACCGCUAUGGUUGUGAGGUACAUUCCCCUUCCACGACGUUGAAGAUCAAUUCCUGUCCCCGAUGUUUUUUCAACAGUUGUGUGGACGGGAUUCUUGCAUAUUCCUGCGUCCUCUUGGAGUCACUCUGUGGCAGUUACUGAGAGGGUAAACCAUGCAAGGAACAUUU